UAGAGCAGUGCUGUGGCUGCAGCCUCAUGAUGGGUGUGCUCUGCAGGAGGCAGUGACGCAUUUCGCCUUCUGAUGAUCAGAAAUUCCUUUGUGGAGACUGAACUCCAUUGCCUGGGCCAUGCUCCAGAGCAGGAGCUCCAUAGAGCAUCUCUUCAUUUCUAGCUGGUGGUCAGUCUGUCCAGAGGCUGCAGCACAGAAAGCCAGAUGCUGUUGUAUGGGUUUGCUCCUGGGCCUGGAUGGCUCUGCUGAUGCACCUGGCAGAGUUGAGUUUGGGUCUUUGUGCUCUGGAUGCAGCAGAGGGGCUGUUUGUAGAGAUCUGGGUUCACCUCCCAUCUGUGCCACUGGCUGUACGAGAGCUGCUUAGUAUCUCCACUCUGUGAUUCUCUGCCUGGCAGGCAGAUAGGAUGCUGCUUUGCACGCUCUGCUAGAGAGCAGACAGAGCCUGGCCACAUACCGGGUGAUGUACCAGUGUAUCGCUGCUGGUCAUCAGCAGAAGCUGCCCUGGCACUGAUGGCUGUUGGGGCAGUCUGUCCACCUGCCCAGGCUCGGGGCCUUGGGUGGCAACCUAGCUCUGAGUAUCUCAGACAGAAAGCAGCAGUCCCCAAAACUGUCUGUGCUCUGCAGCUGUCCCUGUCCUGUGCGGGGGAGCUGUGACGUGCAAGGAGACAGUUGCUGUCAGUCCCUCGCGUGGGGACAUGCAGGCUCUUGGCAUCCAGGCUGCUUUUCCCUUUGCUGAACUAGAUGGGAGCGCUGGCAGCAAGUGCAGGGCCCUGAGAGCACUUGAUACUGUGUGACCGUGUGGAGAGCGGGUUUCCCAAGCUGCUGCAGAGCUGAGAAGCCUUGUGGUGUGCGUUGCAACGAAGGACAUCUAGGUGAGGCCAGCCUGCCUGAUGCCUGCAAAAUUCUGCACAUCUGUAGCAGCUGUGCAGUCUGAAUGAUUCAGAUUGCCUUGUUCAUUGUGUAUGUGUGUGUGUCUUGAGCUGACCCUGCAUGUGGACAUCCAGGCCCGUUUCCCAGCCCUCUGGGAUGCUGCAUAUCAGUAGAUGUUACUGGAAGUGGCCUAAACACAGACAGGCAUGGUUUUGUGUGUGAAUUGACUUCUGCAGCCUUCCCAGUGAGAGAAAAGGCUCUUGCUGGCUGUGCUGAGACAGCUUAUCCAGAGCCCUCCUGCCUCGGGAUAGACAGUUUCUGGCCUCUCCUUCCUUCCGAGCACCAUGGGCUGCAGUGUCUUUUGCUCUGUGUCAUCAGAGCAAAGCACAGAGCUCAGAGCAUCACACGAGGACAGCACAGGUGCAGGGAUGUGGAAGAAAUCCUGCCCGUGGUGUUGACACACCUGUAGAGAAAACAGCUGAAUAUGCCAAGAAAGCACAUGCAUUCUUGUAAUCAAACUAGUAACUGUGAAUAUAAGUGUGGCCACUGCAGGAAUGAGGCUCCAGAUGGUUCUCUGAGCAAGGAGGACAGAAAAUGCCUAUCCAUGGUGAGCUUUGAAACUGGCUGCUGAGAGCAUCAAACCUCAGAUCUGGAUGUUAAAAGCUCCAGGAGAGGGCCUGGUAACUCAGAUCAGAGAUAAAUGAUAAAUGAGAUAAAUAGGCAGAUGUGAUUGUGCUGUUGGGAAACAGUGACCUGAAACCUUCCAGCCUGAAGAGCGGUUGUGGUAGGGCUGGAGGUGGCUGUGAGCAGCUCUGCAGCUGGAGGGAGAGAGCUGCUAACCUGUGUGGCUGUGGGUGCUGCAGUGUAAGGUGGGCUCAGUGAGGGUCCCAUCAGCUCUCCCAUAAUUCAGUGCCCCUUUCUGUCACCUUGUUGUCAGGGAGUUUCCCACCCCUCUCACUUGUUCAUUUCCCGCCCAGCAGCUCUGCAGUGCCAGGGAUGGGAAGAGGUAUGCCUGAAGCCUGCAAAAAACAUCCCUGUCCCUGGGGCAGAAACCUGCCCAGAAGCGGGGCUUGGAGGUGUGGGGGUCUUUGCUGCAGACACCUUCCAGCAAGUCAGGCUGGUAACAGGAUUGCAUGAGGAAUGGUUUUAUAAUGGACUGAACUCAUCUUGUGCAGUAGGGAAAUGGCACAUAUGAGGUAACCUCCUGGCUGCAGUAUCUGACAGAAAAACCCCUCCCUGAAGUCUUACUUUCAUGGUUGAUGCUCUUCAAAAUAAUCUUUUUUCUCCUCGGUGUGACGAAUGACAUGGGAAACCCUUCUGCAAGGAAAUAAAUUCUGUGUGUGGCUUUCACUUGGCAGUGCUGAAUUCCUUUCCAUGCUGCUGUUGUCUUUCUCCUUUCCCCUUCUCCUCUUUUCCCUCCCACAUCUCUCUUCUCUAUCACACAUCCUCAGCUUUUAGAGCAAUAAUUGCAGAUGAGCUAAGAAAACCCUAACAUGUUUUUAACGAUGACUUUCAUUCCUUUCUCUGCAGUGUUCUCUGAGGCUGCACUCUGAAAAUGUGAAGGUGUUUCAAUGAUUUUUUUUGUUGUUUAGACCUGUUCUUGGAGGAGAUUUCCUUGAAUUGACUUUCUGCAUAAGUACGAAUGGGAGGUUGUCCGGUGGCACUAAAUGUGGAGUCUCCUACUUCAAAAGCCACCAGAAUGUGACCCUGGGCACUUGCUCUGGGUGUCCCUGCUUUAGUGGGCAUUGGAGCAGAUGGACUCAGAAGUCCCUGCCAUCCUCAAUGAGUCCUUGUCUCUGAUUCUUUGUGGUCAGUCAAGGACCCAUUGUCCAUGUGAUUCUCACUUGCUGGAUGUUGAAGGCCUGGAGCCUUGGUAGAUAGGUGGACUGGCCUGGUUUGCCCAGGGGUCUGGGGUUGUGUGUUAAUGCCAUGUUACAGGGUGCCACAAACCCUUGGCCAAGCAGGCAGAUGAUGUCAGCACUCUGAUUUCUUUUUCCCAUCUCCCUGCUGGUGAAUUCAGUGGAGGUUUCCCCAUUAAAGAGGAACACUGGAGUCAAGCAGCCUUGUGUCUGCCUCCAGAGUGCAGACGAGAGCUGUACCUAAGCACGACCCAUCCACUCUGACCUCAGGCUCUGGUUCUGUGUUCCCUAUUUCACGUUCAGCUUCAUGAGUUAUCUCCAGUGCUGUCAAAGUGGUGCACGAGGACAUAUGCAUGGGCUCUUGUGCAGCCAUGUAACUGAGUCCUCGAGGUUCUAUCACCCAUGAUAAGCUCACUGCUUGCUCUCUCCUCUCCUGCUCCCCAUAGGUCUUGUCCCUCCCUCCUGCGGCCCUGUCUGUCCUUCCCUGAGGCAGCUAGGACAGGUAGGAGCCCAGGAGCCUCUGUCAGCAUCCUCCCGCCCCUCCAGGAGUCAGACCAAAGUCCCAGGAAGCCCAGCCCCAGGUGCUCCUGUAACACACAUGGCCUGACUUUGCUUCUCUGAGCCGCUACCUGCAGCCCAUCCCAGGCACUGCCAAGACUUCUGCUUUUCAGGUGCUCUCAGUGGGUGUACAUCAGGGGAUGUGGCUGUGGAGAGCAGAGCUGGGGCCUGAAGGCUCUGCUGGGCACUGCGGUGUGGUGGUCUUGACUCUCCCCAUAGAAAAGGGGGCUGGGGUAGUGUGAGGAACAGCUCUUUGCUAUUUUCAAACUGGAUUGUAUCUCAGAGUUGCUGUGUCGGGAGAGGCCUGGUGCUGGGCUUGAUGCUGGCAGUCCUGCUGUUCCCUGUCUGACUUCCAGUGCAGGCCAGUGAUGCAGGGGGAGGACAGAGAGCAGCUGCCAGAUGGCUGCAGAGUGGACAUGCUGCCUUGCUGCCUUGUAGCAUUGCAGGAGAGAUUCCAGAUGAGAGCAAACACCAAGCCUGCAGCAAGAUGCACUGGAAGGGUGCACUGGAAGAUCAUGCCAGGCCAGUGGCUGGUUAUGUUGUAUGUGAGAACUUCCCCCCAGUGCCAGUGACCCUUUGUGCACCCGCUUCUGCAGUGUGAGCUCAGUGGGACUGCUGGCAAUGGCAGUGCUACUGCUUCUGGGGUGUUGUGUCCCUCACAGCAGAGGUUGCUCAGGGUCCUUGGAGAAGCCUUCAGUCACAGCAGGGUCACUGCUGGCAGCUGAGCCUGCUCAAUACAGGGGACCUACACAAAGGAAAGCACACUGGGGAGAAUGGGAGAAAGAGAGAAGCCACUGUGAGCUGGAGCUGAACAGUGCUGGGUGACCUUUUUUGCUCCAGCAGCCUUGUUCAGAGGGAAGUGGAGGACUCUUUAUGUUGACAUAUUGCACUCAGAAGCUCAGCAGUGUGUUUUCCCUAUAUCAGGAGCUGCAUGCCGCACACACGUGUUUAUGGCAGGGAAAUGGGGAAGCUCUGCUGCUACCUUUCCCUAAACAAGUCCCACCUGGCUCCUUAUCCAGCUGGCAAGGAGCAGGAGGGACCCAUGUCCCCUGCCCAUGGAUGGGGGGAUAUCCCCCACCCUCCCUCUGCAAUUGGAUGCUUGCAGAGCAAAGCUUGCAGCAAGCCAAGCAUCACUUGCACUCCAUCAGACGUAGGUGUCUAUAAAAAGCCUCUCUGGGGUUGUGAUUGGGUGUGCUGGCUGUGCCACGUGGUCUCUUGUAAGGCCUGUGUUGCUGAGCAAGUGGCAUUCCACUUAUUUUUGGCACAAAUAGUCUUUAGUUAAUACAUAAAUUCAGCUUAAAUUCUGGAUGGAAAAUAAAUCCCAAGUGGAGGCUCUGCUAAUAAGAUGACAGACGCUUCGGGGAGCCGGGGCUGCUUGUCAGCAGAGCGGUUGUGACUGCUGAGAUCUGAGAGCAGCAACAUGCUCAGGCACAAGGUCCUUAAUAGUUACCAUGAGUUGUUGGACUAAAUUACAGAAAAAUUAGGCAGAUAGCUGAGAUGAGCUCUAACUUGAAUUGCUAGAGCUGAACUUGUUACAGCAAAUGCCCCAAUGCAAUCCCGAGUCGCACACUGUCAUGGAGAGAAAAGGAGGGAGGUGGAGCAUCAUUUUAGGUCUGCAAAGCUGCAAAGCACUCUCCUCUCUGACUGUGUGCUGGUCUGAGGCUCUCUGUAGUACCUCUCCUUUCUGAGUGACCCACUGUAGGUCACCCCAGCGUGUUUCCUAGUCCAUCCCAGGGAACUUUCACCCCACUGGGUGGGUGGUGGAAGAAUGCCAGGUCAUCGCUGCGUCUCCUGCUGCAUGCCUCACCUUUUGCAUGAGAUCUGCUCCUCUUCACUCAGCACAUGAGCCUCUUGCCAGGUAGCAGGUAGGAUUUUAGUCAUUCAGGUCUCAGAUCGAUCUUUCUGGGGAGGUUCAAGGCCUUUUUGUCACAGUCAGGACCAAUGAUGCAGCACUGGCCUCAUAAAGUGUGGGGAGCCUGAGAUCACUUCUUUGCUGUGGAUUUCCACUGGACCCUCCUUCUCUCCUCUGCAGUCUCAAUCAGAAAGUCUGGCAGAGUAAGGUUCUAUUUUUUUAAUUUUUAUUUUUAGGUUUUCUGGUCAAUAAUGUGCAGUUGCUUUGUUUUUCUGAGCUCUCGAGGGGAGAGGGAAGGCUCAUUCUGGAGCCUUUUAGGACUGUUUUUACUGCAGCAGGGAAAGCUCUGACUAGCACUGUCAGUGGACAACUAUAACGCACAGUGGGAUAUGGCUAGGUCUCUACUACAGCCUGUGGACAAGACUUAACAGCCUUAAAGCACUGUAGGGAAGCUGUAGGUGGAUGCAGCUGUUCCUCUCCUCUCUGAUCCUUCAUAACUCCACUCUCAUCUGGGACCUGCUCAGCCCAGUUGAGGGCCCUUUCUGAGUCUCAUGAAGAAAGGCCCUACCGCAACUGGUUUGAUAACAAAGCUUAUUUAAUACGACAGCAUAAGAAGAGGAGCACAGAUAGCAAGUAAAUCUAACAUCCAUUCAGAUGCCGGGCAGCCCACAUUUGCACAACAUCAGACAGAGCCUGGCUGGGUUUCUCCCAUGGAGUAGGUCAGAUCCCAUCCCCGGUGAGAAGUUCUCCCUUUCGCUCAUUUGAGCUAUGGUGCAGUUUUCUUGCAAGAGAACAACUUUAUCCCUAAAAGACAUUCUCAUGAGAACUUUUCUCUGCAUUGUUAGCCUGGCACACAGAUCUGCAGGUGGUGUGAUUGCCCGUUUCAAGUGGGUGCUGCCUGCAGGUUCCUGCAUUGCAGUGAGCUGCUGAGUCUGUCCUGUGGCCAAGGGAGUGCAGGGCAGCCAUGCUGGGUGUGCAGCAUGGCACAGACAUGGUGCACUUAGUUAACAGAUGUGUCACAUGAUGUGCAGGGUCAGGGCCAAUACUCCCCCAUUGCUGCACAACUCCUGAGAUGUGGGUGCCUUCCUCCAGCUAUCACUGGUGACCCUUUUGGUGCAGUUGAGCUCCUGGCUCUAACCCAGGAUUUGGGCUUUGUGCACCCAUCACCAAAUCUGAGGCUUUCUGCAUAGUUUGGCCUCCAGCCUGACAUGUGCACCUGGCACUCAGGCCCAGAUUCUGCACCACAGACAAUCCAGGUGGCCCUAGAUAUAUGUACAGACUGGGGGAGAGCAGCCCCUCAGAAAGGGAUCUGGGAGUUCUGGUUGAUAGCAUGAUGAGGGGAAAAGAGCUGCUGGUGCUGGAGAGAGCAGGGGAGGCUGGGGCUAUGGCAGCCUCCAUCACAGCCCCGCUUCCAGCUCAUGAAGGGCUCAGGUUAGCCACAAAAUCGGUGCAGGGACACAGAGAUGAAGGUGAGGGCUGCCCAUAAGCAAGGUCAGCCUUGCUCUGCCUGUGGUUCCUGCUGCACAGAGCUGCUUAUCCCCACUGGGUGAGGCAGGGAGCACGCCAUGCUUUGAUGGAGACAAGGAGCGGUUUAGAGGGAAUUAGAAGGGAUUUAUGGUGGUGGAGGAAAUCAAAAUAAGCAUGGCCUGGGUCAGGGGCACUGGGCUGUAUGGAGAGGCUUGUUGCCUGGGAAUGCACCUGAGGAAUUACAGCAUUGGCAGCAGGGCUGCUCACAAGGGUUUCUCUUAAAGCCCCAGUUCCCAGAGCUGUGGGAUACACAAAUCUUGGUUUCCUUGUAAAAAUUGUGUGGUAACAGAGAUGAGACAGGGAAUAUGAACCAGCAAAGCGCAUCCCACUGGAACGUGAGUAAACAUGUUCCAGCAUUUAUUAUCUUUCCUGUGUGCUUGAAAUCCAGCCCCAACCUGGGAGAGUCCAGCACUAUUUUGGGUUAGCAGCAUGGAGAACCCAAAGAAUAUCCCUGUUUGCAUGUCUGACCUGAGGUUUCUCCUUGCUUCCAGUUGUUUAACUGUUGUACAGCUGCUUUGGGGACCACCGUCCAGCAGCGAUAGCUCAGAAUCUGUUGUCCCAGGACUUUGUUGCACAGCAUCAUCUCUCCUGGCUGGUCAGCUGGGUCCUCAGUGCUAGCCGAGCGUGCUAAAGCCACAUGCAUGACAACCAGGCUCUGAUCCACCAUGUUGUCAACUUUUAGUGGCAAAGACAUUGUCUGUUCCCCUUGACUUGCUGGGACAAGAGGUGCAGGCUGAUGAAUGACACUGGUGUUGGCACUGGUGUUGACUCUAGUUGCUAAUGGCUAUGGAGGACAUCCUGCUGGACCUGGGGUGAGCUGCUGGAGCAGUUUCAUCUCACAGCCUCAAGGAUGCCAGGAUGCAGCAGUGCCUGGCAAAACACAGGCAGGCUUCGCCAAAGGAGCUUGGGAUCUGGCGGGUGGGUGGGGUGCUGACAGCUCCUCCAGCUGCCCUCAGAUUGCUGCAAAGAGCCUGCCUUCACCUUCCACUCAGCACCCAGGCUGUCAGUGAGAUGUUUGUGAGCCCCCCGUGGUGUCUGGCAGGACUUGCCCACUCAGAAAUCAUAGGGCUUGGUGGUGUUGCAGGUGGGGAUUGGGGAUGCGGCUGGGCUGUACCAGGGGUUUUUAUUCCAGCUGUGUAAUGCAUAGCCAAGCUUCUAGCUGUCAGAAGCAGUAGGGUGCAUGUCCCACAUCCCCACUGCUGAGCACCAGCAUUAGCAUAGUUUUCCUCAUGUACAAUAAGAGAUAAGAAUGGGGAAGGCUAGGAAUCUACAGUCAGGUGAAAAACAUCCAAUUGCUGCCAUCCCCAGAGGCAUUGGCAGAGAAAACUCAGGCAGGUUCUUGCUGGAGCUUUGCCUGGAGCUGGUCCUGUGUUGCACACUUAAUGCUGGGAGGGUUCCUGCUCUGCAUCCUGCAGUUUUUCAGAUAGCAACAUUGGGAGGAGAUCACAAGACAGGAGGAAGAGGACAGUCACAGCACAUGUGAAGCUGCAGCAGCCAAAGGACUGCAGGGGAGAAGAUGGAGAUAUGGUGGGGGAGCAACAUGAGUCCCCAAAUGAUCACGGUGGAGGGUCAGCCAAUGAGUUAGCUGAGCAGGUCUUUGAGCUGGCAGGAAGACAGGCCAGGUAUCUGGUGGAUGGUGGCUGUGUAUGAGGUCUUCAUCUGUGCUGCCAUUGCUGCAGAGCCCUGUGGAGCAGCAGAGGAACCGUGUGGACUGACAGUGCCCCAGCUGCUUAAAAAACAGUGGUGAGGCAGAUCUGAACCUGGGGCAUGCCAUAAGGUGUGUGUUUUUUACACAGCUGUAUCUCCAUGGACAAAGUGUGUGAGAUCUUGGGAAUAGAGAGAGACACAGGUGGAACAUUUUUUCCUUUGGCUGCAAAGCCAGGCAGUCUGAGUCUUGGAGUGGCUUGCCUCAAGGUCAUGAAGCAAAGGCUUCUAUGGAGGAUUGGGAGAAGCAAUGGGAGAAGUAUGUUAGAUGCUACUCUAACAUACUUCUGGGCAUCUUUUACCUAAAAGUGCUUUACCAGUGCAAAAGUGCUUUUGAUUCUCCAUGUAGGCUUCUCUGAAGACUUAUGUCUGGCACAGACAGCCUCUAACAAAGCUCCAAGGUGACACAGCAAGUUGUCACUGGCCUUGUCAGAUCCUGAGGCCUCAUUCUACUGAGUAUGGAUUCAGAUGCCCAUGUAACUGCUAGCUUUGGCUGGAUGCUGUUUUCCUGCUGUCAGAGGAGAGGUGAGGGUUGGGCUGACCUGCAUUUUGUUAGAACUGCUUCAUCGUUUAAUGCUUUAUUUGAUGGAGAUAAAACAAACUGCAGCAGGAAUUGUGCUGCUCAAAUAGGCAGUUCUCGUUUCUCUCUCACAAAGAGCUCUGUUGAGUGUCUGCAGCACGUGGUGUGCAGUGCUGUGGGGCAAGGAGAAGACCUGGCUCUCCUGUCCCAGUGAGUGUGGACAUCUCCUGCCCUGACUCCUUGGUUGUGUUGCUACAGGGCUAUUCUCUGUCACAGAUGCCCAUAUGCAGCCUGCAUCUGUGCUAUCGAAGACAGCCACUGACACAGGGUGGUUAUGUACAGAGAAGGAGCUCUUGAACUGUAAGUUUUUUUUCUUCCUAGGUAAAACAGUGUCAGGGAAUCUUCAGCAGCAUAGGAGUGCAACCACACGUUGCCCUCAUGCAGUUUGAUUUAUUGAUAUUGCUGCAUCUUUGGGAUAUUCCAGCUAACAGCAGCAGCAAGGCUCCUGCAGUGGUCGGUGAUGCAAAGGUUGAACCUUAGGGGAACAUUUCUGUAGUGGCCACUGCUUACUGUCUGGUGGUGCUUGUAACCUAGCAAAAAAGGAAACCCAAAUGAAUGCAGGUAUAUUUUCCAGGAAGGCAGGAGUUGUGGGUGGUGUCUCAGAAGGAGCUUUUCUCCAACUAUGCCUUUCUCCUAAUCCCAUCACAGAAAAUGCUGGGUGUUGGGAAAGGUCCAUCUGAACUAUGACCAAAAUGGGAGAACUCUCCAUCUCCUUGCACAAGGCUGCUGGGUGCAGUUCAUGAAGGCUGAGGCUGCUGCAGAUCCAUCCCACCCUCUGUGGCCUACAGGAGCCUGCAGCCAUAUCAGCUCCAGGCGAGUGGGAGGGUUUUCAUGUGAUGACUUCUGCAUGGUGAUGCCCGCAGAGAUUUUCCAUUCCUUAGGGUCUGAAGGAAGGAGGGCAUCCCUGGGAGGGCCUGAGGCCUGCCAGCAGGCCAUGAAGGGGGAGUGCUCUGCUGUAGCCAGGACAGAGCCUGGGCUAAUGCUGACUUUGGUGGUGCUGCAGGCUGCUCCUGAGCAGGAGCUGGCCCUCCAUUGCAUUCGGUAUGCUUGUUGGAGCUCACAACUGGAACAUGCUGUCCUAGAAAACUGCAUUAGUCCCAGAGUCUCUGAGGCUGUUGCUCCUGCGUAGCCAUUUCCAGUCAGGGGAAAGUGGGACAGGAGAGACCUGGCAGCAGCUCAGGCAUGGGGAGGAAACCACAAGGCUCUGUGCUGCUGCUGGUGUGAGCCUGGCAUGGCUUCUCUUCAGAUGCUUGGAAAACUGUGAAGGGGAAAUCAAGGUAAAGAGGAUGAAGGCUAGUGACUCAAGUUCAGCCAUAUGGUUUAUUUCUAUGCCUAAAACUUUCUCAGGUCCUAAUUAAGGACACAUUAAGUGAUUAGUGUCACCUGUGAUUUAAUCAAGGUUAAUAGGCAGCACCUGUCAUUAAUGGCAACCAUGACAUGAUGCACAUCAGCUGCAGCUUGCUUUUCUAAAGUAUGGAGCAAUCUACCUGCAAAAGGUGCUCAGCUGUAACACAGUACCACUUUGUGUUGAAAAGGACUCUCAGGUUAAAAUCAUAUCUAGAAAUAAUAAUGCAUUCCCUUACAUCUGUUUCUAAUAGCACAGUUGAUAUGGGGAAAUCAGGGGAAAUUCAGAAAUGAAGAAAGGUUCUCUCUGCUCUCUGCAGUUUUGACUGUGUAGCUACCCACGUGCACACCCCAAACAUAUUUUUAAUAAUCAUAAGCAAUGUCUUUAGGGAAAGCUGCUGAAACUUUCACUCUAAAAUUGAUUUCUGCUCUAUGUGUGGCUCCCAAGAAUAUUCCAUGGGCUUGUUUUCUGGGAGUAGGGAAGUCAGUGAGGGGUAUGUCUCACAGUGCAGCGUUUUCAAGGGCUUCGUGUAACUUCCUUUUGAUUCCUUGUGCUAUACAAAGUGAUUUGAUGUGUCUUGAUUGCCAGGCUGCAGAGACAGAUUAUGCAGGGAUGCUGAUGAGUGCCUAGCCAGUGCUCAAAUACGUUCUAACAGCAGUGGGUCUGGAUGCAGGCCUGGAGGCUUGUGAGGGCUCUGCCACAGUGCCACCACUUCCAUUUCACAAUUUGCAGACCAGUCCUGAAAGCCCUCCUGAUCCCCACUUUCACCUUUGUGCUUUAAGCUGCUAGGAGAGAAGGAACUCUGUUUAAAGCUGGCUGUAUCCUCCUGCAUGAACACAAGUGCUGGGAAUUACAAGAGAUCUUGGAGUAUUCAGACUGAUUGGGAGAAGUAAUGAGUUGUGCCCUGAGAUGAGGACAUGUCUGGAGAGACCAGGAAAGGCAGUGCAUCUUAGCAGAUGUGCUUUUCCUCUGGAAUCAGUUAUGUGGGAGCUGCUGGGAGGUUUUGCAUGCCAUUCAACAUCUCCCUGAAGAUGAAAGAUUCCUCCCUAAACUCUUGUUCAAGGGGACAGUUAAUCUGCAAAAUGGAUCUGGAAGAGCAUCUGGACAGCUGUACCCAAAGUUCCUACACAUUUGCCUGGAACAAGCUGCAGCAUUUUGGCAUGCAGUGUAGUGGUAUAUCCUGGAGCAGACCCUGGGCAGGGGAGGCUGGCGAAGACAUUCUUAUGGAUUGUCAUAGUUGCAGUGUUUGUGCAAAGCGAUAUGUAUAACCUGAGGAUCUGGCCUGUUAGCAGAGACUUCGGGCAUGAAGUAACAGCAGUUCUGAUCUGGGCAAAGUGUUUCCCAGGCAUGAGCUGAGCUUUGGGACUGGGGCCCAAGGGCAGGAGCUGCCAGGCAGACUGGCAAUGCCCUGAGUUAUGGAGUGACAGGGCUAAUGAGACUGAAGCCUGGAACGCCCUAUCUCUCCCUCUAGGAUGGGAUGUAGUCUGAAGAUAGGUGUGACUAGGGGUUCUGCAUUCUCCAUUUUCACAUCUCAACACCAGCUAGUUCUUUUACAGAGGGCUGGGAGGAGUGGGGUCAGAAAGUCUCAGCUGUCUGGAACUGCCUGGCCUGAUCCUGGUGCCCAGUUUCAAUGCUGUCCUGGGGAAUGGGCUCCACCCUCCCUUCCCCACCCUGCUGGCAGCCCUCCUCUGACAGAACUGCCCUGCUCCAGCCCUGCCACAGCCCAUCUGGGAACUGCCUGGGUGCAGGCAGAAGGGAGCAGCAGCCUUCCUGCUGCCAGACACUGAGCAGAUGGUUUCAUCCACACCUAGACAAGGCUCUGUCUACUGGGCUGACACGGGAGGCUAAACAGUUGUGUGAACACAUUCCCUCUGUCAUCGCUGACUUUUCCUAUGCAGUUGUCCUGAGGGACAAAGAGGGGAUCAGCAUGUGGGAUGUCUGAGCACAUGGAACAUCUUGAUGCCAGCCCAGGUCUGCAGGGACUGAGUGCCUGCAGAAGAGGAAGCAUGGGACCCAGCUGCUGGGCGUAGCGGGGCUCAUUUUGCGGAGGUUGCCAGUCACACACUGACCGUGGUGCUUGCCAGCUCCCGAGGGAGGAAGCAAUCUGUGUCAUCUCACAGCGGGCUUCCUUAAAUCUCAGCCUGAUUAAGUGGUGGCAGUAUGGGCUGCCCGAUAUGAAACAGCCAGCUUCCUUCUCUGAAAAGGGCCGAUAGUGCAGAAAUAGCCUGUUAAUUGUGUGCAUUUUCCUGCAGUCAGAGGCCAGUAACACGUGAAAUCACUAGAUUCUGACUCUGUGGGUAGACAUCUAAAGACGACCAGCACCACAUUGGUUACAAAGUGAGUCUGCCAUGCUUCUGAGAAAGGUGAAUUUGAACACUCUGGGUUUCUUUUCAACAUCAAGAUGUGUGAGGGAUUUAGGGAAUAUCCUCUCAGCUUUUGACAUCUUGUCUGACCUUUAAAAUGCGGUCCUUGUGCUUUCUGUGGUGAGAUAUGGGCUGAGAUACUCAUGGACUGCAUGCAGAGAUGGUGAAGCUUGUAGAAAGCUUUGCUGUAGAAGAAGAGAUGGUGUGGAAGGCUCUUAGAAGGGUUUUUUGUGGCUGUGGUUUUCCAUCAGCACGUUUACUGAGAGCUGUAUCACAGUCUGGAAAGAGAGUUUAAUGCACAGACUGCUGAUAAAGAAGUGCUGUAAGUAGUUACAUUAGAGUUAUUUAUUCAUUUCAAAGAGAUAAAAGCUUUCUGAAAUCAGUGCAGUCAUCUUAGCUUGUGGCUGUUGUUUUUCUUAGUUUCUUGUGUAUUUUAGAGACCCAGUUAAUUACAGGCAAUGACUGAUGCUCAGAAGAAUACAGCUCAAGCUGAAUUGUUUAUUUUUCUUUCCCUUCAUUCUCAGAAAGCAGUGAGCUGGGGCCUGCCUUGUGGUGGGUCUUCAGCUUUCGACAUAUAGGAAUAAAAUACUGUCAGCUGUGUUUGUGCUGAGACACAGUCAAACAUUAGUGCUUCUCCAGUUUGAAGAGCGAAGAGGUAUGGAGGUAAUGUAAAUGACAGCAUCAAUGCAUUUUGCCUGGUGAACACUAUGUAGAAAGCAUAAAUUAAGAGUUGUCCACUGGAAUCCUCUGGAGAUGUGAUCUGGAGGACACCAGCCUCAGGUGCUGCUGUCUGCAGGUUCCCAGCACUGCAGGGAGAAAUGUGGGAUGGCCUUGCCUUACACACUCCUUAAUUUCAGCAUGCUGGUUAGAAGGGAACAUUAAACUUGGAGAUAUUUAUGUGCAACUUCUACCUAAAAAGCUUUCUGAGAAACCCUGCCAUCCUUUAUGGACAUGUUACGUAGGGAUUUCUCGCUCCCUGUUGGAAGGCAGGAGUCUCAAUGAGUUGGACCCUCUUGAGCAGCGCAGUUAUGCUUUGCAGGGCAGUUAUGACUUCCAGCACAGGGUUGUGCUGAGGAACAGCCUUCAGCAGGUGGGAUCAGAUCUGAAGCUACCAAGGGCUUUUUUUUCCUGUGAGCUGUCUCUGUCUUCCACACUACAUAGCAAAGUUCCCAGUGCUUGGGGAUGAGCACUUCCGCUCUGUAAUCUUUGGCUCAGGUCUGCUCUGAGCCCCAUGCUGUGCUCUGAGACACUGUUGGCAGUUGCUGGGGUUUCAGCAGUGCCAGAUUCCUAUGAUCCCGAAGAGGUGUGGCGGCCAAGCAUGAUCUAACUUGUUCAUGAUCUGUCAACCAUUAGAGGCUGAACUGAUCUCCGUCAAACAAGAGCCCAUGGGCAAAAAACCUGUACCUCUGGUAUGGAAAGAUAGUGAGGACCUGAAAGCAAGACAGAGCUGUGGGCAGUGUAGGCACACACAGAGGGAGCUCAGUGGGAGCACAGCUGGGAACAGAGAUACGUGCUCAAGCCCUCUUUCCUGGACAUCCCAGCUAUGGCUCUUGCCUCCCCGAUGAGCAUUGCCCUGGACUGCUUGGGCAAGUAGGCCUCAGUUUCCGUGGAGAGGUUCAGUUUGAGACCUGAAGCUUGUUUCAGUGUAGGGCUUGGGAUUUAGACCAACCUAUUGACCCCAGAAGAAGAACCACUGUCUGCCAGGAAGGAAAAUCCCUCUCCUCUUGAGUCAUGCUUAGGUAACCUGUUUCAUUUCCCUUAAAGUCCAUCUAGAACCUGAUGGCAGGUGCUAAUAACCUCAUUGGGAUUUGGAAUCAUAGAACAGAAUCAUAGAAUCACUAGGGUUGGAAAAGACCUCUGAGAUAUCUAGUCCAACUGACCACCUACCACCAAUAUCACCCACUUGAACCAUGUCCCUAAGUACCAUAUCUACAUCUACACCCACCAUCAUCUCCUGAUGAUGACUGUCCUUCUGAGGAAGCCUUUUUUAUGCAGCUAUCACCUGUCACAUUGAAGCAAGGUUAGGCCAACCCCUGGUGCUUUUCACUGAGGCACGCAGGGCUGGCCUGAGCGUGUAACGCAGGUGGCCAACUGGCCUCAUAUAUUUCACAUUAUUCUUUCUGCCUUGGGGAAAGGCCAUGCACCACCGAGGUCUUGAUUACUGUGAUUCUGUUUGAACUGUUCACUAUCUGAUGGGUCUUACUCUCCCUGGCCUCUUCUAGGAGCCGAUAAUCCUCUCCCUCCAAUAACACCUUUCUCUAGUCCUCUUUUUCCCUUUCCUAGUAUUGGUGUCACCCUGCUCUGUUCAUGUCUCCUCUUUCAGCCUCUUUUCUUUCUGAUCACGUCCUGGCCAUCUCCCUGUGCCCCGACCCAGCUUUCCUUGCUGCCUUCCCUCUCUGCAGCUCAUCACCACUGGCGUGUCCCAACAGGCUGGCAACAUUUGCAAAAUGAAAAUGUCUUUUACCACAUUUUUCAGUUUUGCCACCAAAAUCUGACAGCCAAGAAUAUGAAGCUGCUUCUGCUGCCCCGUGUGUGCUUGGUGACCUGAAGGCAACCUAGCCAAGGCUCUCCUGAGCAGUUCCCAAGCCAUUCUUGCUCUCAUGCUUUGCUGCCCCAGGAAGAAAGGGCAGUUCUUGGAUCACCAUAGUCUGCUUGACUUCUCCAAUCUCAAAUUAUUCUGCUUUUGACAUAGGCAGCAGGCUAGCAGCUGGCACUUGUGAGAGCUGAGGAGGGAUUGUUUUCAGGACAACAGUAAAGAAGAGACUGACAAUGCAGAUGGAAUGGAAGAAGAUGACAAGUGAUUAAACAUCUGUAGAUGAAUGGAGAUGCAGCUUAAGAGAUUGACUGUCGCCUGCUGAGUGGAGAGAUGGAAGGAAAGAUUGCGUUCAUGUGCACCAGGAUUGCAAAUCCCACCCUCCCCCAGCAGAUCUUAAAUUGUGUUUGUUACUUAUUUUGAGCCUUCCCAUGUAUAAACCUUCACACAGCUUUGUACUGCACCUUUAUAGCCCCAGCUACUAUUUCUACCUGCCAGAACCUCUGAUCUUGUUUUCUGGGCAGAGAUCCUACAAAAUAAAACUUAGG